rnacentral:misc_RNA from 1 species
GUGGGAGGGGGCUUGCCCCCGAUGGCGGUGGGUCAGCAACAUAAAUUGUGGCUGAUACACAGCAAUCGGGGGCAAGCCCCCUCCCAC